rnacentral:rRNA from 1 species
AUUGAACGCUGGCGGCCGGCCUAACACAUGCAAGUCGAGCGAGCGGCGGACGGGGGAGUAAUGUAUGGGGACUGCCCGAUAGAGGGGGAUAACUACUGGAAACGGUGUCUAAUACCGCAUACUAUCGGAUAACCCAUAUGGGAUUGGCUAGUAGGUGGGGUAAAGGCUCACCUAGGCGACGAUCUCUAGCUGGUCUGAGAGGGGGAUCAGCAAAACGGGGACUGGGACAAGGCCCAGACUCCUACGGAGGCAGCAGUGGGGAAGAUUGCACAAUGGGAGCAAGCCGGAUGCAGCCAUGCGGCGUGUAUGAAGAAGGCCUUAGGGUUGUAAAGUACUUGCAGCGGGGAGGCGUUACCCGCAGAAGAAGCACCGGCUAACUCCGUGCCAACAGCCGCGGUAAUAC